rnacentral:rRNA from 1 species
UACGGAGGGGGGCUAGCGUUGUUCGGAAUCACUGGGCUUAAAGGGCGCGUAGGCGGCGGGCGAGGUCGGGGGUGAAAUCCCACAGCUUAACUGUGGAAGAGCCUUCGAUACCGGCUCGCUGGAGGAAGGUAGGGGUGCGCGGAACUUCUGGUGGAGCGGUGAAAUGCGUUGAUAUCAGAAGGAACGCCGGCGGCGAAAGCGGCG